UUUUUGCAGGUUAAUGAAAUAGCAGGUGCUUGUCAUGGCUGUUUAAGUCGGCAUUACAAAGGCAAGGCAGUAGAUAUCAGCAAGAAAAAUAUGAAAAGCGAACGGAUUGACUACUUUCUGUCAGAGUGCAAAAAAUACAAAAAAGAUGGUGGUAGAAAAGUUGAAGCAUUAAAUGAAUCAGCUCAUGUUCACUGUGGAAUACCUUUUUAGGUCGUGCAAGCGAAUCUCUUGUUUUGUUGACUCAUCAUUUUAGUUUUUUUUUAUAUUGUUUACAUCAAUCAAAAGAGGUGAUUGACAUGAAUUCCUGUCAAUUUAAAUGAGCUUAUCAUUUUAAGAUAUAAGAAUAACAAAAUAUGUCUGCCUUGCAUCAUAAAGUUUAAGAGGUUAAAUAUACCAAAGUGACACAAUAGACAACUUUAGAGUUUGUAUUUCACCGGAAAAAAACUCGUCAAUUAUGCGCGCCUUUAUGACGUCAUUAACCAGAUAGAGAGGAUCACCUAUAUUCCUGGACUAUUAACAAAAAUCAAGCGUCUUAAUGAUCGUCAAUGUGCAGGAUAAACUAGAAAUAUUCUGUUUUGUUCUGUAGGUACUUAAUAACGAUUUCGUCAAGACAGCAGUGCUGAUUGUCAAUUAUGAGAAUUCAAUUUGCCGAAUAAUGCGUGCAGUAUAGCUUCACAGUUUACCAACUCAACAUGGGAACGGAUGUGAGGAUGCCCAUUUACGCACGAAUAUUGUUCACUAACACCAUUUUAUUUACGGAAAUGCAUCGAACUCGAAAGUUGUCUACUGUAAAACUAUUUACUAUAAACAAAACUAAUCGAAAUGCAUUGUUGAUUAAUGAUAUACCUGCGCUAGGCAAUUGCUGGCAUAACAAAUCAAAUAAAGAAAUAUCAAUAGCUAUUGUUAUUUAUAACAUUGGUUGCAAUGAAUUACAAUGAUUUCCCAGUUAAAUAAAAACCGAUAAUUUCACA
rnacentral:lncRNA from 1 species